CGCACGCUGUGCGGACAGAGCAAGAAUGGCAGGCAAACAUCAACAACCCAAUCUUCCUUCUGCGUCCACUUGGCAGCCAUGGCGCAGCGCUGACAGAUUGAAACCUGGAGGAGCCGCCCUUACCUUGCCUGACUGCGAGUGUGGUGGUGUAGACCAGGAACAGCAGGAUGUAGUUGAGAAAGCU